rnacentral:rRNA from 1 species
GACGAACGCUGGCGGCGUGCUUAACACAUGCAAGUCGAACGGAAAGGCCCUGCUUUUGUGGGGUGCUCGAGUGGCGAACGGGUGAGUAACACGUGAGUAACCUGCCCUUGACUUUGGGAUAACUUCAGGAAACUGGGGCUAAUACCGGAUAGGAGCUCCUGCUGCAUGGGGGGGGUUGGAAAGUUUCGGCGGUUGGGGAUGGACUCGCGGCUUAUGAGCUUGAUGGUGGGGUAGUGGCUUACCAAGGCUUUGACGGGUAGCCGGCCUGAGAGGGUGACCGGCCACAUUGGGACUGAGAUACGCCCCAGACUCCUACGGGAGGCAGAAGUGGGGAGUAUUGCACAGUGGGCGGAAGCCUGAUGCAGCAACGCCGCGUGCGGGAUGACGGCCUUCGGGUUGUAAACCGCUUUCGCCUGUGACGAAGCGUGAGUGACGGUAAUGGGUAAAGAAGCACCGGCUAACUACGUG